GUGAAUCGUCUGCAUCGGUUUUUCAAAACGAAAGAACAGAAUAUUCAUAGUUAUAUCGUUCGCAUGUCAGCAAAGAAGCAGUUCUACAGCGCUUGCAGCUUGUGAACGAACACGACCUGGUUUUGAGGAAUUCUCCAUUUCCCUAUAAAAUGAAAAUUCAUCUAGAAUUACAUCUUAUGUCAUCAUUAUGUUUAUUAAGCGUGGAUGAUGUAUAUGAACAGCGCUGGCUUGCCGCUGAGUGCUUAAUGAUGCAUAAGAUUAAGCCGAGGCUCUCAGCUGUGCUGUGACUCCCCUCUGGUUCCCAUGCUGCAGUAGCAUGCUGGGAGAACAAGCUCCAAACGGCCAUCAGGUCAUGGAAUGCGGCGGAAAUUCCAAGCGUGUCACGCAGGACCAAUUUGUAGCCGCUUCUGGGGAUGAACCGAUAUUUUCCACAAGGUUUAUUCCAUAAUAAGACAAAGCUGGGUCCUGGCUCGAGUGGAAUUUCUUUAUGUAUUUCUGAUUAUUGCCUGGCCAGCGGUGGGCCGGGCGGACUGUGAUAAAAACCAGCCAAGCUGAUUAAUAGGAACAUCAUAAGAAUAUUACCGAUAGCACCUCAUCUUAUAUCUGUGUGUAAUUUAGUCUGUCUUUCUGGACAUGCCCAUGUAAUUAUGAGCAGCGGCUCGAGCAAGGUGGAACGUGCUAAGGCACCGAAACAGACUUAAGGAAGCAUCUUAAUUUCCAACCUAGUGAAAGCCACCGCUGAACGGCAUAUUCGAAGCACCCCAUAAAAGUGAAAAGCAAGUGAUGAAUGGCUUGUGCCAGCGUGUGCCGCUUUCAUACUUUCCCCUGCUCUAAAGUGUACGCCACUUUGAGACAUCUGAUACAGAAGAAGCUCCCCAGACUCUGUUUGUGAAUGUCUUUCAUCAAACUUGCAUAUGAGAGCAGCCACGUGCUACAUAGGCUCUUAGCCACACGCUUUGCCUCCUCUGAUGGUCCGGCCAACCAAUCCAUCUUCCUGAGUGCUCCCACAGAUGAGAAGUGGGCACUAGGCGCUUUCGUCGCUGAGCUACAGCAGGAGAUGAAUUGGAGUGCCAUAGCCCACCUCCAGACUGUCCCAGUAUAGCAAUCUGGACCCCAGCGCUGUGCAGCGAGGGACGGUCUCAUCCACUCAGAGAGGAAGCAGACUCACCCGGCCCCAGGAGGCCCGGGAAGCGCGGAGGCGGCCAGAACGCUGCCUGCUGGGGCCUUCCACCCAUUCACACGGGCAGACCACGGGAGAUGAAGCGGACACAUGGAUCUCGAGGCUACUGCAAGAUGCUUUGAUUGUUGUCCUGCUGACGAUAUCUGACUAUGUCCUGAAGUGAAAGAUGACAGAAGUUGCAUCGACAACAUUGAUCUGAAAGUCAAAGCGUUUCGUCUGUCGUCCCACUGUGAACAUCCAAAAAAUAUUUCAAAGACAGACUGCGGAGCCAUUAAA